AGGGUGAUCGGCCACACUGGAACUGAGACACGGUCCAGACUCCUACGGGAGGCAGCAGUAGGGAAUCUUCCGCAAUGGGCGAAAGCCUGACGGAGCAACGCCGCGUGAGUGAUGAAGGUCUUCGGAUCGUAAAACUCUGUUAUUAGGGAAGAACAUAUGUGUAAGUAACUGUGCACAUCUUGACGGUACCUAAUCAGAAAGCCACGGCUAACUACGUGCCAGCAGCCGCGGUAAUACGUAGGUGGCAGCGUUAUCCGGAUUAUUGGGCGUAAGCGCGCGUAGGCGGUUUUUUAAGUCUGAUGUGAAAGCCCACGGCUCAACCGUGGAGGGUCAUUGGAAACUGGAAAACUUGAGUGCAGAAGAGGAAAGUGGAAUUCCAUGUGUAGCGGUGAAAUGCGCAGAGAUAUGGAGGAACACCAGUGGCGAAGGCGACUUUCUGGUCUGUAACUGACGCUGAUGUGCGAAAGCGUGGGGAUCAAACA
rnacentral:rRNA from 1 species